UAAGGAAUAUUGGUCAAUGGACGCAAGUCCGAACCAGCCAUGCCGCGUGAAGGAUGAAGGUCCUCUGGAUUGUAAACUUCUUUUAUCUGGGACGAAAACGGGAUUUUUAUCUCAAUUGACGGUACCAGAGGAAUAAGCACCGGCUAACUCCGUGCCGGCAGCCGCGGUAAUACGGAGGGUGCGAGCGUUAUCCGGAUUUACUGGGUUUAAAGGGUGCGUAGGUGGGCUUAUAAGUCAGUGGUGAAAUCUCCGAGCUUAACUUGGACACUGCCGUUGAUACUAUAGGUCUUGAAUUAUCUGGAGGUAAGCGGAAUAUGUCAUGUAGCGGUGAAAUGCUUAGAUAUGACAUAGAACACCAAUUGCGAAGGCAGCUUACUACAUAUAAAUUGACGCUGAGGCACGAAAGCGUGGGGA
rnacentral:rRNA from 1 species